CAGCCGCCGCGGUAAUACGUAGGUGGCAAGCGUUGUCCGGAAUUAUUGGGCGUAAAGCGCGCGCAGGCGGUUCCUUAAGUCUGAUGUGAAAUCUCGCGGCUCAACCGCGAGCGGCCAUUGGAAACUGGGGAACUUGAGGGCAGGAGAGGGGAGCGGAAUUCCACGUGUAGCGGUGAAAUGCGUAGAGAUGUGGAGGAACACCAGUGGCGAAGGCGGCUCUCUGGCCUGUAACUGACGCUGAGGCGCGAAAGCGUGGGGAGCGAACAGGAUUAGAUACCCUGGUAGUCCACGCCGUAAACGAUGAGUGCUAAGUGUUAGAGGGUAUCCACCCUUUAGUGCUGCAGCAAACGCAUUAAGCACUCCGCCUGGGGAGUACGGCCGCAAGGCUGAAACUUAAAGGAAUUGGCGGG
rnacentral:rRNA from 1 species